GGGGUCAAAUCUGGCUCCUGGUGGAACUGCUCCCGGGGGAAGGCCGCUGGGGAGACCUGUUGAUGGGUCAAUGCCAGGCUGCGGGAACCCAGACCGGAGAGGAUCAACGAUCAUUCCACCACUGCGACCUCCCAAAGGGUCCAGGUCCUGCCCACCAACAGCGAAGGGGUUCAAAGGAGAAGGCCAGGAUGGUGCUCUCGCGCCUGCAGGGUGCCGGGGAGGGAUCCCGCGGGGGUUGUAAUCCAGGGGUGAGUCAGGAUCCUUCUUCUCUGCCUGGGACUCCUUCUUGGCCUUUUCUGUGGGGACCCCGAGGGGAGCGAUGAUACCUGAAACGAUCCUUGUCCUCAACUCCUCCAUGUUCUUGUAGACCUUGUGGAAAUCAUUCAGGUGCUCUGGGUUGAUGUAGUCAGCCACUGCCAAGGUCACGUCUGUCACCUUCUGAGAAGCACGAUCCAUGACAUUGAGGAUCAUGCUGUCUUCCACCACAAUGGCCUUCAGCAGCAGUUCCCGGGCAUCAUCUGUGGACUUGUAGCGCAGCGUAUACACCUCCUUGUUGGCUUCCCAGCCAGCGGGCAGCAGCUCUGACUUCCUUUCCUCAGGACCUGGCUGCUCUCCGGCGCCGAGGCAGCGGUAGCCGUGCUGGAUCAGCUCCCAGUGGAUCCCGCAAACCAAUGCAUCCUGCGGGCAGGAGAUGCCGGCUCGAGCCGAGCAGUACAGCACCUCCAGCCCCGCCAUGGCCGCUCCGCACCGCACAGAGCAGGCGCGGCUAGGCCUGGCCGGGCCCUCCCCUUCGCCGAGCCAGGCCGGGCCGGAGCCGCGUCCUCGGGCUGAGCCGGG
rnacentral:lncRNA from 1 species